rnacentral:rRNA from 1 species
CAGCAGCCGCGGUAAUACGUAGGUGGCAAGCGUUGUCCGGAUUUAUUGGGCGUAAAGCGAGCGCAGGCGGUUUUUUAAGUCUGAUGUGAAAGCCUUCGGCUUAACCGGAGAAGUGCAUCGGAAACUGGGAGACUUGAGUGCAGAAGAGGACAGUGGAACUCCAUGUGUAGCGGUGGAAUGCGUAGAUAUAUGGAAGAACACCAGUGGCGAAGGCGGCUGUCUAGUCUGUAACUGACGCUGAGGCUCGAAAGCAUGGGUAGCGAACAGGAUUAGAUACCCUGGUAGUCCAUGCCGUAAACGAUGAGUGCUAAGUGUUGGAGGGUUUCCGCCCUUCAGUGCUGCAGCUAACGCAUUAAGCACUCCGCCUGGGGAGUACGACCGCAAGGUUGAAACUCAAAGGAAUUGACGG